GACGAACGCUGGCGGCGUGCUUAACACAUGCAAGUCGAACGGAAAGGCCCUGCUUUUGUGGGGUGCUCGAGUGGCGAACGGGUGAGUAACACGUGAGUAACCUGCCCUUGACUUUGGGAUAACUUCAGGAAACUGGGGCUAAUACCGGAUAGGAGCUCCUGCUGCAUGGUGGGGGUUGGAAAGUUUCGGCGGUUGGGGAUGGACUCGCGGCUUAUCAGCUUGUUGGUGGGGUAGUGGCUUACCAAGGCUUUGACGGGUAGCCGGCCUGAGAGGGUGACCGGCCACAUUGGGACUGGGAUACGGCCAAGAGGCAUACGGGAGGCAGCAGUGGGGAAUAUUGCACAAUGGGCGGAAGCCUGAUGCAGGAACGCCGCGUGCGGGAUGACGGCCUUCGGGUUGGAAACCGCUUUCGCCUGUGACGAAGCGUGAGUGACGGUAAUGGGCAAAGAAGCACCGGCUACCUACGU
rnacentral:rRNA from 1 species